rnacentral:misc_RNA from 1 species
AUGUACUAAUGCAUGCGGGAUGAUAUGCAUGUGUACUGUGUGUCGGUACUGUGUAUACGGCCGGUGCGCGCAUGCUGGCAGUGUGGUACGUAAGUACAGUCAAUCAUCAGCGUUGCCCACAAAUAAUUUGCACUCAACAUUUGCCUGCAUGAACAUGUACACCGCACCAUGACAAUGUGGACGUUUUCCUGUUGCUAACAUCCGUUUUUGACACUCAGCUAGCUAGCGUUCAUACUUGGAGUUUUUGACCAGGCAUAUUCCGUGCACGACGUCAGGCGGCCGCAAUGGAGGCUGACAAGAGGUUAGACGUGAAGGCUCCACCGUUGACAGAAAUAUUUGGUCAAGGGGAUCAUGGUUACAAUACAUUUAGAAUUCCUGCUAUUGUCUACAAUCGCCGGACUUUACUAGCUUUUUGUGAAGCUAGGAAGAGUUCAUUCCGGGACUGGGGAAGCAUGGAUUUGGUUCUGCGGAGGGGCAUAUUGAAAGAUGAUGAAGUGAUAUGGGGCGAUAUUCAAGUUAUAGCUUCAAUGCCUGAAUACAGAACCAUGAACCCUGUGCCCAUAGUCAACAAAAGAACCAACAGCAUCGUUCUUGUCUUCGUCGCAUUCCCUCAGGACCUCUCGGAAGCAGAUCUCAUUAAAGGACAGGAGUACCAGCAGAAAGUGCUGGUAACCAAAUCCAGAGACAAUGGGUUAACAUGGAGUGAGCCACGCGACGUCUCAGAGACAACGCUGGGAAUGAUGGACCCACGGCCUCAUAUAUACGCAUCAGGUCCUGGACAUGGAAUUCAGUUGACUUCAGGACGGCUGGUUGUUCCUGGUAGCGUAUUCUGGAAACCACCACAUGAGACUGGUUUCCUCUCAGAGAUCAAACACAAGAUUCUGGAGUUCUUUGACUGCUUCUACAAUGCACAAAGCCGUUCCAUGGUGAUAUACAGCGAUGAUGGUGGAGAAACGUGGGAGCAGGGAGGUGGGGUACCAGCUGCCUUCGACCAGGAAGGGCAACUAGUAAAUGCCAAUGAAUGCCAGAUAGUAGAAUUUGAUGAUGGCAGAGCCUACAUCAACAGCAGGACCCUAGGCGUUCAAACGCCACGGCAACAAGCUUUUAGCCAAGAUGGCUGCUUGACCUUUAACCCUGGUGAGCUAGCCACUCAGCUUCCAGAGCCUGGACACACGCUGACCAAAUGGAUUCCUUCAGUUCGUAACUUUGGUGGCUGUCAGGCCAGUAUUCUUGGUUUCCGUGCUCCCAGUAGUGUGCCGCCUGAUGCCUAUGACAUGACCUCAUGGGUGCUAUUCUCUAACCCUGCAAGCACUGAGACCCGUGUCAACAUGUCGGUGCGCCUCAGUCGCAAUGGCUGCCGGACGUGGAGCGCCCCCUGGCAGCUGAACUCUGGGGCCAGUGCAUACUCAGACCUGGUCGGUUACGAGACCCGCACCAGUGACAGGGUACCAGUCUUGAACUUUGCCUGCCUGUACGAGUGCGGUAGUUUACACCCGUAUGAAAGAAUUGUAUUCCAAACGUUCACGCUAGAGAAAAUGAUGCAAGGUGUUGGCAUGGAGACCAAAGCUGAACCCACUCAAGAUAUCCCAGAAAGUGCACUAGAGACGUAAGAAUAUUUGUGUUAAUAUAUUUAAAAAAAAGUCUGUAUGUUAAUAUUAAGAAAUUGUGAUAUCUUCCAGUUUAGUAAAUUGUAUGAAAGUACCAACAUAUCAUUCAGUAAAUUUCAAUAAACUUUAGAAAUUCAUUGGGAAUUUUCUAAAAUGUGAGGGAACUGAUUUUUUUAAUGUGCCAAUUUUUCUAGUGUGUAUUUGGCAGCAGAUCACUGGAUAAUCUUACCUAUUUUACUUCAUGUGUAUAGUGAUAUCCUCUCAUUUGAGCCAAUUGGACCAUUUCAAAACCCCAGGCAAAAACACAUUAAAGCCUUUUCAUUAUGUGUAAAGGGUUGUAUACAGUGCCAUACAGCUUAAUAUGUCCUAGGCUUUCUCAUUGAAGAAAAAAGCUUUUCCAGAUCAUUUAGCGAAAUUUAACAGAACAUUUCCGUAACUUUCCAUGGAAAGUUUCCAAAGUUAUCUUGAAAUUUGUGACCCAUAGCAACACUAGUCUUAUUGGCAUUAGAUGUUUGCCCCUCUGCUCUCUUGAUCUUACAGAGAUAAAACGGAUUGUUUUCACUGCAUAAAGACGGAGAGCUUGGCCAGAAACCUUUAUACGUUUUAAAUCAAAUUUCUGAUAACAUUCCAGGUUCAUGUUUUUUUACUUUCAUGUACAGAUGUUUGAUUUUUGAGUGGUCGGGCACAACCCAACUACUGUCUGGAUUUGUUACGAUUAAUCUU